UCCCUGGUGGCUCAAGAAGGUAAAGCAUCUACCUGCGAUGUGGGAGACCCAGGUUCAAUCCCUGGGUCGGGAA
rnacentral:tRNA from 1 species